ACACGUUUCGUCAAUUUGACCGCUUGGUCUUCUGUUAAGUGAUGACAUGGCAGAAGCGGGGUUCACCUUUUUAGCAUAGGUGUAAUAAAAUAUGUGACAAAUAAUAUUAAAAAGUUCUUUAUUUUUAAAGUUAAUUAAAAUCAAUUAUUUAAACCCCAAAAAAAAACAUAACAUAAUUAAAAAAAACCUUCAAACUCCCCACCCGUCAAACCUAAAUCCAAACCCAGCAUCCCCACCACCCAUCCUUCUUCCUCUUCCUUCUUCUCUCCACCCGUCAAACCCUAAAUCCAAACCCAGCAUCCCCACCACCCAUCCUUCUUCCUCUUCCUUCUUCUCUCCACCCGUCAAACCCUAAAUCCAAACCCAGCAUCUCCACCACCCAUCCUUCUUCUUCCUCCUCCUCCUUCUCUUCCAAUAUCCCUACCUUCGUUCCCAACACCCAUUUCUCCUUCAGAUACCCACACUCAUCUCCACCCUUCAACUUCACCUCCCUAACCCGCCAUAGCUCUUGAAAUUGUACCGCCACCACCACCGUCAUUUGAGAAUCCAUCUACCCCAGAAGUAUCACAAUCGUCAUAGCUCUUGAAAUUGUUAUGUGGAUUGUUCGCAGAUUGGUCAUACCCUUUAAAUGAAUCGUUUUGGUCGGUCCCGGACUCUCGUAAUCUGUAAAACCCGACCUGAUUAUGUUCGGGUCUUCGACGUAGCUGCUGAACUCAGUAUGGUUGGCACUGCCAUUUUUUCACAGCUAACGAACUUUUUAGGCAUGGCUUCUUCAGCGACGAUCUAGAUUUCGAGGGGUUAGAGUUUUAGAGGGAGGCGGCUGGGGGCAGGGAUGGUUUCAGAUCUGGGGUGCGAUGGGUUGGAGAACGAGGAAAGUUGGGAGCAGUGGUUGUGAGGCGAUCCGGGUUGUUUGCAGGCAGUGGUUGUGAGGUGGUCUGGUUGUUUGUAGGCUGCGGUUGUGCGGUGGUCUCGGUUGUUUGCAGGGGAUGGUUGUGAGGUGGUCUGGGUUGAAAGAGAGGAGAGGGUUUGGUGGUGGAGAUGGUUACGACUUGGGGGGUUUGGUUGGAAUGUUAUUUAUUUUUUUUUUUUUGGAAAGGUUUUUUAAUUAUGUUAUGUUUUUUUUUUGGAUUUAAAUAAUUGAUUUUAAUUAACUUUAAAAAUAAAGAAUUUUUUAAUAUUAUUUGUCACAUAUUUUAUUACACCUAUGCUAAAAAGGUGAACUCCGCAUUUGUCACGUCAUCACUUAACAGAAGACCAAGCGGUCAAAUUGACAGAACCUGUAAAUUAGUCGAAUUUUAAAAUAUUAUGGCAUAAAUUGACAAAAUUAAAACCACAUAGCCCAAACCUUAAAGGGAUAAAAUAAUAUUAGCCCUAUUUAUAUUUUUACAUCUCCAAUCUUACAAUUCUAGCAACGUCCACACUGACCAAGGCCUGUAUAGAUCCUGUGAGCAGAAGUGUUUCUGCUGCAUAGACAAACACGAGACUUGGGAAGACAUCAAUUUCAAAUACAGAGACUUUGACUGUAGAAGGGGCGCAUAGAAUUUCCACGAGCACCAACCGACAAGAAUCAAUUGAUGUGUCCCACCCAGAAAAAAACGAUGCACGUGCUUCAUGAUUCAGGAAAGCCAGCGCCUGAAAAGUUAGACCACCUACUAACUAAUCUGAUGGCGUUGAGUAAAAUCAUAAAUGAUGUUGCCCAAGGGAAGCUUCCCAAUGAGUUUGUUCCAUGCUCAGUUAGGUCAGUCGACUAAUACAAUAUAUUUCUUCUUUUACAUUUGAGUUUGAUUAUAUUCUUUCGUAAAUUAGAGUAAUUUAGAAUACCAUUUUAUAAAAAAAUAAAAAAUUAUUCAUGAGCCCCAACCAUGGAAUUUAUCAAGUUAAUUUCUCCAUCCAAGACUUGAGACUUCGAC
rnacentral:lncRNA from 1 species